rnacentral:tRNA from 1 species
GUGUGGCUCAGCGGUAGAGCACUCACCUAGCAUGUGUGAGGCCCUGGGUUCAAUCCUCAGCAC